rnacentral:lncRNA from 1 species
CUGGAUGUCAAAAGGAAUACACAAGCGGCUGGACGUUGAGGGGACGUCAAGGGGAGCAUGCCAGUGGAAGGACACAGGACAGACGCCGGCAGGCCAUCGACCAGUGGCCAGCAGAAGGAGGCGAGUUUGGCCGGAGAGAUUGGAGGAGAGCCUGGGCCGCUGAGCGGCCAGACUCCACAGGAAAACCAUCUACCUUCUGGCUCCCCCAUCUGCUGAGAGCUACUUCAACUCAAUAAAAUCUUGCUCUCAUUCCCCAAGCCCACAUGUGAUCCAAUUCUUCCGGUACAUCAAGGCAAGAAAUCCCAGGAUACAAAAAGCCCUCUGUCCUUGAGAUAAGGAAGGGGGUCUAAUUGAGUUGACUGACACAAGCCGAGCUAACUAACACAAGCCGCCUACAGACGGCUAAACUAAAAGAGCACCCUGUAACACACGCCCAUUGAGGCGUCAGCUUUAAACUUUCACCCCUAGACAGUGUUGUGGGGCCGGAGUCCCACAGCCUGCCCAGCUGUAUGCUCCCUUAGAGGUUUGAGCAGCAGAGCACGGAAGAAGCGAGCCACACCCCCAUCACAUGCCCUGUGAGGGGGACAAGGGAACAUUUCCUGUUUCAUCAUUAUUCUUAUUUUACAGAAGAAGCAGUAAAUGUCAUUCCCACGUCAUCCUGUAAGUAAGGUCAGAUUCCGUCUUGGUAAGUCUGACGCCUAAAUACCUGACGUGUGACAGCAAAUGCCUGUUCCCAUGGAGCUGCUGCUUCUGAGAAAGCUUGAAACAGACAAAGAAUAAGGUAGAAAUGACCUCCUCACUAGAGAUGAAAAGAAGCUGUCCUGGUGAGGAAAUUGGAUCCCAGCUUUUGCCGCUAAGAUUCUUCUCUUCUGCCUCUGGUUUUCUUUAUUGUUCACCCCCAGAAGCAAUCGCUCUCUCACAAGGCAACACACGCAAUAGAGUGAACAGUGAUUCUACAGUCUGAUUCUGGAAAAGGCGACCACAGUGGAAAGAGUGAUCCACACAAGUAUAGGGCCUCCUGAUUAAAACACUAAGAUUUCAUCUCACGCUGUGCCUUUAUACUGUUGAGAUACUAAAGAGGACACUAAAGAUCAAAGUGCUACUUUACAACAUUUUGAAGAAAACAACUGCUACCUGUGUAUUAGUUUGUGCAGAUGUGUUACACAGCUUAGCUGUGUCUGUACCAGUUUAUUAGAAUCAAAGUAUUUUUAAAGUACCUAAGGCCAGGCACAGUGGCUCACACCUGUAAUCCCAGCACUUUGGGAGGCUGAGGCAAGUGGAUCACUUGAGAUCAGGAAUUCAAGACCAGCCUGGCCAACAUGGUGAAACCCCAUCUCUACUAAAAAUACAAAAAUUAGCCAGGCAUGGUGUCACAUGCCUGUAAUCCCAGUGACUCAAGAGGCUGAGGUAUGAGAAUCAAUCGUUUGAACUCAGAAGGAGAGGUUGCAGUGAGUGGAGAUAGCAACACUGUACUCCAGCCUGGGUGACAGAGUGAGAUCCAGUCUCAAAAAAAAAAAAAAAAAAAAAAAAAGUACCUAAAACUUGUGAUAUGGUUUGGCCUUGUCCCCACCCAAAUCUCAUAUUGAAUUGAAUUAUGGGGAGAGGUCUUUCCUGCGCUGUUCUUAUGAUAGUGAAUGAGUUUCAUGAGAUCUGAUGGUUUUAAAAAUGGGAGUUUCCCUGCACAAGCUCUCUUUUGUUGCCUGCUGCCAUCCACGUAAGAUGUGACUUGCUCCUCUUUACCUUCCACCAUGAUUUUGAGGCCUCCCCAGUCCUGUGGAACUGUAAGUUCAAUAAACCUCUUUCUUUUGUAAAUUGUCCAGUCUCGGGUAUGUCUUUAUCAGCAGCAUGAAAACAGAGUAAUACAGCAUGUGAGAUACAAUGCUGAGCACUGAAGAAACAAGGAUGGCACAGCCCCUGACUUCCAGAAGCUCACACUUUAGAAAAGCAAGUGUAUUAAUAACUACUUAUGUAUAACAUUUGUGUUAUUUAGAAAAUGCAAUAAGGGCACAGAUGAAGAGCAAAGUACAGUGGUAAAGAAGAGAGAGUUUGUGAGAAAGGUACAGGAGAAAAGACAUUUAUGCUGGGCUUCAAAGGAUGAGCUGACAUUUCAAUUCCCAUCCUUAGACAAAGCUAGGAAAGGCAUUUCAGCAGAAGCAAACUGAAUAAAGCCCUCGAGACCUGGAAGUGCAUGUCAUGCCCAAGAACCAUGUAAACCUGAAAGCUUUGAGAGCUAGAUAAUAUUUCACCAACUGUGGUCAUCAGAAUCACCAAUAUUUGGGGUGUUUGUUUAAUUUUUUAGCUUCCUAAACCCUAGCACAAGCCCAAUGAAGGUGGGAAGAGGAAUCUGUAUUUUAGAAGCAACCCUUUCCCCUCCAAAUUCUUCAUAGAGUGAUUGUGAUGAAUAAAGGUUGAGGACCAUCUGGUUUAGGCUGUUCUAGGCAGGGUGGAGAUGUAGGGAAGGACACACAAUAACCCUGUUACUCGGUUGUGCUGUGGUUAUGUGCCUAUACACUAUCAGACAGACUGGUCAAUUUUGUUCCAAAUAUGUUCAGUGUUAAACAGAACCCAGUAUUGUAAACUGUAAUUACAAAUUAUAAAACUUCUGUAAACAGAAGCCUACUUCUCAUACACUGAAAGAACCAAAAGGCAAGAUGCAACUGAGACCGUUUAAAAAUGGUGAAAUGUUUUCCAGACUCCAGCUACAAGGAGAAUCCUCUUUGUAAUGCUGAGUAUCAUGAUUAAAAUCUCCCACUGCUCAGCAGCACAAAACUGUCUCAAGGAGUCUCCAAAGAGAGUCAUCUCAGAGUAUCUCACAGCAGUCCUUCCAUCCUCAAGCUUGGUUGUAUCUCUACACAGGCCUACAUGAAAGCAGAGACACUGCAAACAAGACAGGGCAGAGAGCAAGCCGGGAAGUUGGUGAACUUGGAAUUUGAUGAGCUCCUUGUCUGAAACAUGAAGCUCAGACCAGAAGAACUGGAUGCUCUAGAGAGAGAUGGACCUCUCCUCAAUGGGAAUAUCAACAUCAGUACAAAUUGAUGAUUCCAGUUAAGAAACAGACAACAGUAGUCAGAGCAGCACAUAAAGCCAGAAGGAGGCAAAAUAUUGGUAGCCACUCAGAGCUAUGCGCUUUCCCAACCUGUCCUCAGAGUGAACUGUUGCUAAUUUCAGAGCCAAGUAGUAGUCCUACUACCAACCAUCCCAAUAAUUUCACAUACCAACAUCCACAAUUAAGUUACUGGUUUAUAAACCAUAAACCACAAUUUAUCUAGGGUGUUGACUUAAUGUUUUUCAGCAAAGUUUUUUCCCUAUCUAAGGUAACAUUUCUCAUAUAAUGGUCAAGGGACCCCUACCUUGAGAUUGUUAAAAUGAAGAGACUUGGGUACCUUUCACAACUCUCUGAGGUUAGGGCCCAGGAAUCUGCAUUUUCACACACUCCCUCAGAGCAUUCUCUCUCACAAGGACUUUCCCUUCAGGGAACUCCUGUUACACUCAGUACUGAAUAGUGUAAGAGUAUUUUUGUUUUCCAUUAGAAUUUUGCUAGUGGAACUUUGAUUGGCAAUAGGAAGUGGCUGGAAUAACAUAGGGAUUUUGGUCUGCAUUGCUAUCUAACUGCCUGGGUUCCCUGUGACAUGUCUCUCAGGUGUCAGGUAUCUCUAGCUCUCAGGUAUCUCUAGCUCAGCAACUUUCCCACCCUCAUCAACCUUCCCAUCCUCAAUCCACCCAACCCCACUCUCCCACAUUAAAAUCAAAGAACUUCUACUGUAAAGUCCCUGGUUAAACAAUCAUCUUCAGGUACUGUCAAAGUAAGAUAACUAAACCAGGCUCCCUCGUUGGUACCAAUCAGAUUGGGUAGGAACUGGUAUGGACAUCAAACAGAAUUGGCACAUAACCAGGUACAGUUGCAUGCAGGCCAGCAUGAAAGUAUCAGAAUAUUUGGUUAAUUGAAUUAAAAGAACCAUUGAGUUAUUCUGACAUUGUGAAAACAUAGUCAAAAUUCAGCUCUUUACAAUGCUUUUGCAUCAUUGGAGUUGAGUGCAUCAGGGAGACUGAUAAAUCAUACAUGGCUCAUAAAGACUAAGAGCAAAUCAUAAAAUAAUAGAGCUGGAAGGGAACUGAAAGAUGACCCGGUCUGGGUUUUAUUUUGCAAAUGAAACAACCAGAGCCUGCAGAGGCCUAGUGACCAAGGUCAUACAGCUCGUUAGUGGCUGAGAAUCACAAUGUCCUAACUUCUGGCUGAGGGUUUUUUUCUAUGAUGCCUCCCCUGAGACUAAAAUAAAUCCC